rnacentral:lncRNA from 1 species
GUCCCCAUCAGUUCCGAGUUGAUGUGUGGAAGAACCAUAAAAGUAAGAAGAGAGCCUGAAGGACACGACUUGGACUCACUUUUCCAAGAGCCCUUCACCCAGAAGAAGGCAGAAUUGCCUUUUCAGUCCUGCUUACACGAGCAUCCAAGCUGCGUCCUCCUGCAGCUCUGCAAGGAAUCACACCAAAAUCACGGGGAAGCACGAUGAGUCACACGCGGGGUGCAAAGUCACCCAAAGUGCCUGAGACGAGCACAUGAGUGGGAUGGGAGUCAGCCCUGAAAUGAGGGGCGACAAAUGUUGCAAGAACACGACGAGCGUGAGAGCAGCCAUAUGGGAUCAGACCAAUGGUCUGCCUACAACAUGGCCAGAAGCGACGUCUGGAAUAUGGGAACCUUCUCCCCUGGUGCUCUUCCAGUGCUUGGGAGUCAUGGGCAAGCAUGUCCAAAGACUACACAAGCCCACCCUGGCUCCUGGGGUUUGCUGACUCUGAGGUCUGUUGCAGCAUCCAUGUUGCAUCGCCACUUGAACCAGGCGCCGAGGCUUAUGGAGAUGAAGUCAGUCGCAGAGGUGACCUGGGGACACGUGAAUCACCUCGAAGCAGCCCUGGACUUUUGCCUCAUGUCUAUACCAGGUGUUUCACGGCACAGUUUGCUUUAUGCAUACCUCUUUCUUGAGAUACCGGGAACCAAAAAAAAAAAGCAGGCUGUUUCAUUUUCUCUCCGUUGGUCAUUAAAAUAGUAUAGAUGCUUUAUAACACGCAUGCCGCAGCUCAGGUCCAAAUAGGGGUUAGGAGGAAACUCAGAGUGCUGGCAGUAAAAAAAUACCAAAACAACCAAAACAACCACCCCCCCCCACUUCCCUCCUAAUUACAGUUUGACAUCAUGAGCGGGCGAGCGAGUGGUAUUUAUUAAUCUCAUCCCCUGGAGCCAACAACACCGCCGAGUCAGGGUCCGGGAAAAUCUCUGAGUCACAUGGAGAUGCAGAGCCAGGAAAUGUCAGUGAAAGAUAAAGAAGCAAAUAAAGAAGUAAAUAUUAAGGCA